GGCUGGUCAUGACAUCGACAAACUUGGACUGCUGCUUGCAAAUGAUGCGGGUAAUUCGUAAUCUGUCUUCGUGGGUCAGUAGGUUGAGAUAGUUGUGCGCCAGCUCGUUACUGAGGAUGUUCGUGCCGUCAUUAAUACGCAGGAUGCAAAUCCCUACUGGCGCCGACGCCACAAUCUUGCGGUUGAAUUGCUCAUUCUCUUCCAACUGGAACGCAUUCACUUCCGCAGGCAACAGCAUUUUCCGCUCAAAUACCAAAGCCAACACAAACAGAAAAAUUGCCCAUAGAAUAUUCAGUACAAGCAUGUUAAUCAUCAAUGCGCUGAUAUGAGAGAGCAGGACUUUCAACGGCAGCGCAUACACGAUGCUGAAUGACGUCGGCGGCAGCGACUUUUUCAGAAUGAGUUCAUCAUACCCAUUCACAUAGCCAAAAUAGUUAUGAUCGGAAGGAUAACUGUCUACCGAAGACGUAUAGCGAUCUUUAGCAUCGG
rnacentral:ncRNA from 1 species